CAAAAUUGAGCAAACAAAACGUUUUAUUCUUUUUUUUUUUUUCCAAAUGAGUACACUAUUUUAGUCCCUUGAGAAGGCCUUUCGGGGGAUUGCUUCUAUCUUGCCCAAGAGACUUUUCCUGUUAACAAAUGAACAAAUGAACUAACUGUACAUCAAUGCCUGUGAAGGCCGCCUUUGUUUUGCAGUUAAGAAACAAAAACCAGCUCCUCAAGCAUUAGAUGGUGGCAAAUCCUGUGACCUUAAAAUAAAGGCUAAGCUUAGUUUGCAGUAAAAUAUAUGCCAACCAUAUUUCAACUUACAUUUAAGAGGAGGCAGUUAACUGGGAAAAUUUUGGGAAAAUCAUAUUUUACUUUCUGAAUCUUGAUGCUGAUGCCAACAUUGUGGCUUUUCGAGAUGUGCACGAUGACUCCCAUCCCAAGUAUUGUAUCGAUCACAAGGGACAAAACUUGGUAUUUACAUCUUCCUUACUCCUAAAGUUCCACCUCAUGAAGGUCAUCUCCAACACUGCUACCAUUCAUUGGCAUACGUGUCAUAGAAGGAUCACCAGGCAUGAAAGAUGAA
rnacentral:misc_RNA from 1 species